rnacentral:tRNA from 1 species
AAAACACUAAGUUAAAAAAACUAAUAGCCUUCAAAGCUUUCUAUGAAUAAAAUGUUCGUGUUUUG